UCCUGGCUCAGAGUGAACGCUGGCGGCGUGCCUAACACAUGCAAGUCGAACGAGAAAGCACCUUCGGGUGCAAGUAGAGUGGCAGGCGGGUGAGUAAUGCAUAGGUAAUCUACCUUCGAGUGGGGGAUAACUUGCCGAAAGGUAAGCUAAUCCCGCAUAAUGUCGUGAUGCGUAAGUGUUGCGAACAAAGGAGGGGAUCCUUCGGGACCUUUCGCUUGAGGAUGAGCCUAUGUCCUAUUAGCUUGUUGGUGAGGUAAUGGCUCACCAAGGCUCUGAUGGGUAGCCGAGCUGAGAGGCUGAUCGGCCACACUGGGACUGAGAUACGGCCCAGACUCCUACGGGAGGCAGCAGUAGGGAAUAUUGCGCAAUGGUCGAAAGGCUGACGCAGCGACGCCGCGUGGAGGACGAAGGCCUUCGGGUUGUAAACUCCUUUUCUGGGGGACGAAUAAGGUAAGUAGGUAAUGGCUUACCGAUGACGGUACCCCAGGAACAAGCGCCGGCUAACUUCGUGCCAGCAGCCGCGGUAAGACGUAGGACGCGAGCGUUAUCCGGAUUUACUGGGCGUAAAGCGCCUGUAGGCGGUCAGGUAAGUCGGUUGUGAAAGCCCCGUGCUCAACGCGGGGAGGCCAAGCGAUACUGCCGGACUUGAGGGUGGCAGAGGGGAGUGGAAUUUCCGGUGUAGCGGUAAAAUGCGCAGAUAUCGGGAGGAACACCAGUGGCGAAGGCGGCUCCCUGGGCCACACCUGACGCUGAGAGGCGAAAGCUAGGGUAGCAAACAGGAUUAGAGACCCUGGUAGUCC
rnacentral:rRNA from 1 species